UACAGAGGGGGCAAGCGUUGUUCGGAAUUACUGGGCGUAAAGGGCGCGUAGGCGGCCUGCUAAGUCGAACGUGAAAUCCCUGGGCUCAACCCAGGAACUGCGUCCGAUACUGGUUGGCUUGAAUCCGGGAGAGGGAUGUGGAAUUCCAGGUGUAGCGGUGAAAUGCGCAGAUAUCAGGAGGAACACCAGUGGCGAAGGCGCCGCUCUGGGCCGUGACUGACGCUGAGGAGCGAAAGCGUGGGUAGCAAACAGG
rnacentral:rRNA from 1 species